CGAGAAGCCAGAGCUUGCUCUGGUGGAGAGUGGCGAAAGGGGCAGUAAUACAUAGGUAACCUACCUCCCUGCCCGGGAUAACUCCGAGAAAUCGGUUGUAAUACCGGAUAACGUGAGCAAUCACCAAAGGUCCGCUGUGGGGAGAGGGGCUUAUGUAAUAUUAGCUUGUUGGUGGGGUAACGGCCCACCAAGGCGAAGAUGUCUAGCAGGUGUGAGAGCAUGACCUGCGCCACUGGCACUGAGACACUGGCCAGACUCCUACGGGAGGCUGCAGUCGAGAAUCUUCGGCAAUGGGCGAAAGCCUGACCGAGCGACGUCGCGUGCGCGAUGAAGGCCUUCGGGUUGUAAAGCGCUGUCGAGAGGGAGGAAAGCUUCGGUUUGACCUAUCUCUGGAGGAAGCACGGGCUAAGUUCGUGCCAGCAGCCGCGGUAAGACGAACCGUGCGAACGUUAAUCGGAAUCACUGGGCUUAAAGGGCGCGUAGGCGGGCUGGCAAGUCGGAGGUGAAAGUUUUCAGCUUAACUGGAAAAGUGCCCCCGAAACUGCCAGUCUUGAGGGAGGUAGGGGUAGUUGGAACUCCCGGUGGAGCGGUGAAAUGUGUUGAUAUCGGAAGGAACGCCGGUGGCGAAAGCGAACUACUGGACCUCUUCUGACGCUGAGGCGCGAAAGCUAGGGUAGCGAACGGGAUUAGAUACCCCGGUAGUCCUAGCCCUAAACGAUGGGUACUGAGUAGUGGACUUGCAUGGGUUCACUGCUGAAGCAAAAGUGGUAAGUACCCCGCCUGGGGAGUAUGGUCGCAAGGCUGAAACUCAAAGGAAUUGACGGGGGCUCACACAAGCGGUGGAGCAUGUGGCUUAUUUCGAGGCUACGCGAAGAACCUUAUCCUGGGCUUGACAUGUGCGAAAGCGCUAG
rnacentral:rRNA from 1 species